UACGAAGGGGGCUAGCGUUGUUCGGAAUUACUGGGCGUAAAGCGCGUGUAGGCGGGGCGUUAAGUCGGGGGUGAAAGCCCAGAGCUCAACUCUGGAACUGCCUUCGAUACUGGCGGCCUGGAGCAUGAUAGAGGCGAGUGGAAUUGCGAGUGUAGAGGUGAAAUUCGUAGAUAUUCGCAGGAACACCAGUGGCGAAGGCGACUCGCUGGAUCAUUGCUGACGCUGAGACGCGAAAGCCUGGGGAGCAAACAGG
rnacentral:rRNA from 1 species